rnacentral:rRNA from 1 species
CCUACGGGUGGCUGCAGUCGAGAAUUUUUGGCAAUGGGGGAAACCCUGACCAAGCGAUGCCGCGUGCGGGAUGAAGGCCUUCGGGUUGUAAACCGCUGCAUGAAAAUGUGUCUAUCCGCAGAGGAAGUGUGGGCUAAGCUCGUGCCAGCAGCCGCGGUAAGACGAGCCACACGAACGUUAUUCGGAAUUACUGGGCUUAAAGGGUGCGUAGGCGGCGUGGAAAGUUGGGUGUGAAAUCCCUCGGCUUAACCGAGGAACUGCGCCCAAAACUACCAUGCUCGAGGAAGAUAGAGGUAAGCGGAACUUACGGUGGAGCGGUGAAAUGCGUUGAUAUCGUAAGGAACACCCGUGGCGAAAGCGGCUUACUGGGUUUUCUGACGCUGAUGCACGAAAGCUAGGGGAGCAAACGGGAUUAGAUACCCUUGUAGUC